rnacentral:lncRNA from 1 species
CGGCAAUAACUACGCCCAUGAAUUCAUAUUCUUUGCAAAUGCAACCGCCUCAGCUGAUAGAGCUUUCCCAACUCCACCAACCGAAUGUGGUUUCCACCGGCCUCCGAUUAUCUUUCGGCGGCGACCAACAACAAUAUCAGAAUCAGAAUCUUCAAAACCAACAACACCAACACCAACAACGGCAACAGAAUCUUGUAACCAGCUCCACUCUUUUUUUGUCCGUGGUAUGCGAUGAAUUGGCUACCCAAAUCAAACGCCAGAGAGAAGAAUUGGACCAAU